rnacentral:sRNA from 1 species
UGGUAAGACAGAAUGCUAACGCACUUCAAAGCUCCCGUUACAUAAUUCAAAGGGAGUUUAGAAGCUUGCUUUAUUUAUCUUAAAUUAUUCACAGCAUAAGUCUUUAAAAUAUUUAAACUCCAAUACCGUCAAAGGAGAAUGCUGAUGGAGUGUCUUCUCCGGAGAAAGCAGCCAUAAGGACUCGUGGGCCAACGCAAGCAUCGAGGGUGCUCCCCCAUGCUCCACUUUCUGGACCAAGGAAUGCUUUCCUUUAGGGAUCAAGUUUUUGCCGAAUGAGAUUAAUUUUUUUUUUAAAUGUUGCUCCUGAGGAGGAGCCUUUAGCAGGACAUACGAAGAUGUGAGGAAGUGGAAAUGUCCUUCCUUCCAUAGCUAAUGAAACCACUCAUUAGCAGAACACCGGGGUGCUACUAGCGAGACACUCGUGCAGCUGGCACUCAUUCUGAGGAGGAUGAUUCAUUACCAUGGUUACUGGUGCUGGAAAUAUUACCUUCCGCAAUCAGCAUGCGCACUGAUCCUUUAAGAGAGUGUAAAAAUCAGAGCACUGUAAACAAUUAGUGAAAAUCGUCAGCUGCUCUGGGCUGAGCUUACACAAUGCUACCCUCAGGGCAUAAAAGCAGAGGGAGGAGACUGAACCGGUGCAUUUUCCAGAGGUAUGCCUGGAGGUGUGUUUCCUGGGUGAUUUCAGAUCCUGUCAGGUUGGCAAUCAACAGAAACCAUCACGUUUACAGACAAAAUUCAGAAACCAAAGCUCAAGAACCAAGUUUCAUGUGCUAAUAUCUCAAGAGCUUCAGAAAGUCUUAUGUACAGAGAAAUCCAGCCCCACAAUGCAAUCAGGAAACGAGUACAGCUAUACAGCAGUUGGACACGCAAGCUGUGAGAAAAUGAUAUCUAUUUUUAUGUGCCUAUUUCAUUACUGUCUAUGGGUCUGAUAAAGUUAAGCUUUUCUGUGUUUUUAAAUGCUGUGAUUGAACCCUGGCAUCAGUAUUAGGACUCUGAUCAGCUUGGCUGCAAGUUCGGGGCCUCUCAGACCCUCCACUCAGGUUUGAAAAUUCGCCAGAAUGACUAAGAGGAGCUCCGAGGGAACUACAUAUGCUACUGCAGUUCUAAAAAUGGACACAUGCCAGGGCAGCCCCUCUCAGGAAGGAAGGCCACAUAACCCCAGGACACUGGAGUGCUCUCCAACUCCGAAGCUCAGGGCUGGUUGACAUGUGAGCUCACGGAUUGUGGCAGCAUACCCAGGGCCUGCCUGCAAGGGUCUGUACCAGAUAGUAAGCAGCAGAAGUGAGCAUCUCUAACCAGAAGCUAUCUCCAACUGAUAGCCAUUCACAAGUGAACAAUUACCUUUCUCCAAUGGCCUCGAUGCGUAUAUUGAGCCAUGCCCAGCAAUAAAUGGGCAACACCAGUUGAAUCAAUGGUAGAAGACUUUCCCUCUUGGAGUGUUUUGUUCUGCCAUUUUUUUGUCUUACUGGUCUCUUUUGCUUGUCUAUGGUUUCUGAUUUUGUGGACUUUAUGGAUUUUGUUUGCUGUUGUGUGUUUCUUAUAUUAUGUCUCUCUUAUAUUUUU